AAUAGAUACCCAGGUAGUCCACGCCGUAAACGAUGAAUGCUAGGUGUCAGGGGUUUCGAGACCCUUGGUGCCGAAGUUAACACAUUAAGCAUUCCGCCGUGGGGAGUACGGCCGCAAGGCUGAAACUCAAAGGAAUUGACGGGGACCCGCACAAGCAGUGGAGCAUGUGGUUUAAUUCGAAGCAACGCGAAGAACCUUACUAGGUCUUGACAUCCUCUGACAACUCUAGAGAUAGAGCGUUCCCCUCCGGGGGACAGAGUGACAGGUGGUGCAUGGUUGUCGUCAGCUCGUGUCGUGAGAUGUUGGGUUAAGUCCCGCAACGAGCGCAACCCUUGAUCUUAGUUGCCAGCAUUUAGUUGGGCACUCUAAGGUGACUGCCGGUGACAAACCGGAGGAAGGUGGGGAUGACGUCAAAUCAUCAUGCCCCUUAUGACCUGGGCUACACACGUGCUACAAUGGAUGGUACAAAGGGCUGCCAAACCGCGAGGUUGAGCGAAUCCCAUAAAACCGAUUCUCAGUUCGGAUUGCAGG
rnacentral:rRNA from 1 species